rnacentral:rRNA from 1 species
GAUUAAAAGAGAGAAAAGAAGGGCCAAGAUGUGGGAGUCGGAUGCUUGUAUCAAAGAUUAAGCCAUGCAGGUAUAAGUAUAAGCAAGUAUUCCGUGAAACUACGAAUGGCUCAUUAAAUCAGUUAUCGUAUAUUUGAUAGUACCUUACUACAUGGAUAACCGCGGUAAUUCUAGAGCUAAUACAUGCUAAAAACCCCGACUUCGGAAGGGGUGUAUUUAUUAGAUAAAAAACCAAUGCCCUUCCGGGCUCCUUGGUGAUUCAUAAUAACUUAACGAAUCGCAUGGCCUUGCGCCGGCGAUGGUUCAUUCAAAUUUCUGCCCUAUCAACUUUCGCAUGGUAGGAUAGUGGCCUACCAUGGUAUCAACGGGUAACGGGGAAUUAGGGUUCGACUCCGGAGAGGGAGCCUGACAAUACGGCUACCACAUCCAAGGAAGGCAUGCAGGCGCGCAAAUUACCCAAUCCCGACACGGGGAGGUAGUGACAAUAAAUACUGAUACAGGGCUCUUUUGGGUCUUGUAAUUGGAAUGAGUACAAUUUAAAUCACUCUCCUCGACGAACAAUGGUAUAGAGCAUNUCUAAUGCCAUUUGCCCACACCCAUGGGCUCUUCCUUAUGUUCCUCAUUACCUGCAAUUUCAUUCUGAUACUCCUUCCCAUUUUCUCCGAACUCUUCUUCAUAUCUGCAAGUCUGGUGCCAGCAGCCGCGGUAAUUCCAGCUCCAAUAGCCGUAUAUUAAAGUUGUUGCAGUUAAAAAGCUCGUAGUUGAACCUUGGGCCUGGCUGGCCGGUCCGCCUCACCGCGUGCACUGGUCCGGCCGGGCCUUUCCUUCUGGGGAGCCGCAUGCCCUUCACUGGGUGUGCCGGGGAACCAGGACUUUUACUUUGAAAAAAUUAGAGUGUUCAAAGCAGGCCUUUGCUCGAAUACAUUAGCAUGGAAUAAUAGAAUAGGACGUGCGGUCCUAUUUUGUUGGUUUCUAGGACCGCCGUAAUGAUUAAUAGGGACAGUCGGGGGCGUCAGUAUUCAAUUGUCAGAGGUGAAAUUCUUGGAUCAAUUGAAGACUAACUACUGCGAAAGCAUUCGCCAAGGAUGUUUUCAUUAAUCAGUGAACGAAAGUUAGGGGAUCGAAGACGAUCAGAUACCGUCGUAGUCUUAACCGUAAACUAUGCCGACUAGGGAUCGGGCGAUGUUAUUAUUUUGACUCGCUCGGCACCUUACGAGAAAUCAAAGUUUUUGGGUUCUGGGGGGAGUAUGGUCGCAAGGCUUGAAACUUAAAGGAAUUGACNUGAAGAUGGGAAGAAGGGAAGUGAGAUGGAACCUUUUAGAAGUGGAUCCGUAAUUAAAGAGGAUACGGACUUAAGGUAUAGUCCAGCUGUCUCCGAAAGGUAACGUACAUACAGUAAACGGAAGCAUGCGGCUUAAUUUCAACUCAACACGGGGAAACUCACCAGGUCCAGACAACUUGAGGAUUGACAGAUUGAGAGCUCUUUCUUGAUUAGUUGGGUGGUGGUGCAUGGCCGUUCUUAGUUGGUGGAGUGAUUUGUCUGCUUAAUUGCGAUAACGAACGAGACCUUAACCUGCUAAAUAGCCAGGCUAGCUUCUGCUGGUCGCCGGCUUCUUAGAGGGACUAUCGGCUGAGUCCAAUG